UGGAGACCCAGAGCCGCCAUCCCUCCCUCCAGAGCCCAGCAGCUGACUGAGGGGAAGGGGUCUGAGAUGAACCAAAGGUUUUCUGUCAGGGCUUGGCUGACAGGAUGGCUUCCUGCAUGCGCGACCGGGGGCGUGGCCUCGAGGUCAGUGGAGCAGCUGUGCUCACGUGAGAGCACCUUGGCAAAGGGGCGGGGCGAAGCAGCCAGGGAAAACGGUCAGGAACCGCAGGGGCGGAGCCAGUAUCUGAUUGACAGUCGAGAGGCCAAUGAGAGAAGGCAGGCCACACCAAGGAAUGCGCCACCUUCAGUUAAACUGUCAGGGCGCCCGGGAAAUCUAACGGGUUUUGCCUGUCAGGUUCCUAACUUGGCUGGGCUUGGCCUAGCGCUCUCAAAACUGACCUUUUCUGGCGGUCUUAGAACCCAUUCGUGGACUGUCUCCUCCGUCGUCUGUACGUUUCUCCACAGGCGCUGGAAGUACUGUGUGCUGGUGAAAUGAGUAUGUUUCUGUGCGGGGAUCUCCAAGAAGACAAGGACCUGUACAUCUACAUCAAUGAGAUGAUGAAGGAAGAGGACAGCUUUAGCCCAAGCUCCAGGGGUCCCACCUCCAGCCCCAGCCAGCAGCCCACCCUCUGCAGGGCAGGGCAGGGGCACAGGCACCGUGGAGAAGGACUUUCAAAGACAUGAGUCCAAUGUCCGCUUCAUUCUGGAGGAAGAAGAAAAGAACUAAAAUCUGGAAGCAAUGCCCGUUGACCUGCAUGGGACAAGGUUUCCCAGGGCCACUGACCAGGUUUGGGAAGGGCAAAGUCCCCCGACCCCAGUCCUGCCGGCCCAGCCUCUGGUUCCCGCUCUGCUCCGCAUCCUGCCCUUUCUCUCUCCCCUCCCCUCAGCCUUUCUGCUGCCUCAGGGCUGCCCUGCUCACCGA